UCCUGCCCACUGACGUUGAGUUGAAGGGCCGCGGUAUCGUGACCGUGCGAAGGUAGCAUAAUGAUUUGUUCUUUAAUUGGGGGCUGGUAUGAAUGGUUGAACGAGAAAAAGACUGUCUCUUUUGUAAAACUUGAAUUUAACUUUUGAGUGAAAAGGCUCAAAUAUUCUAGGGGGACGAUAAGACCCUAUAAAUCUUUAUACUAGUUGGUAAUAACAUUAAAGAUUAAUUUUACAUUUUUUUGUUAGUAGUUUUAGUAUUUUGCUGGGGCGGCAGGGGUAUAAUUUAAUAACUGCUCUAGAGUUGUAGUUAAUUAUGUUUAAAUUGCUGGUAGUUGAUCCUUUAGUGGAGAUCAUAGAUUAAGUUACUUUAGGGAUAACAGCGCAAUCUUGCCUGAGAGUCCUUAUCGAAGGCAAGGUUUGCGACCUCGAUGUUGAAUUAAAGUUCCUUUGUGGUGCAGGAGCUACAAUAGGAGGUCUGUUCGACCUUUAAAUC
rnacentral:rRNA from 1 species